rnacentral:misc_RNA from 1 species
GAUGAAGAACGUAGCGAAAUGCGAUAAGUAAUGCGAAUUGCAGAAUUCAGUGAAUCAUCGAAUCUUUGAACGCACCUUGCGCCCUUUGGCUAUUCCGAAGGGCAUGCCUGUUUGAGUAUCAUGAACACCUCAACUCUCAUGGUUUGCCAUGAUGAGCUUGGACUUUGGGGGUCUUGCCGGCCUAUGGGUCGGCUCCUCUCAAAUUAAUCAGCUUGCCAGUGUUUGGUGGCAUCACAGGUGUGAUAACUAUCUACGCUUGUGGUUUUCCAUCAGGUAACCUUCAGUGAUGGAGGUUCGCUGGGGCUCAUAAAUGUCUCUCCUCAGUGAGGACAGCUUUUUUGAACGUUUGAUCUCAAAUCAGGUAGGAAUACCCGCUGAACUUAAGCAUAUCAAUAAGCGGAGGA